GGUCCCGUGGCUUGGCGGCGAGAGCGCCGCCUUGGCACGGUGCGGGCGAAGGCGCGCCCUUCUGGGACCA
rnacentral:tRNA from 3 species